rnacentral:rRNA from 1 species
AGCGAAGACUUCGGUCUUAGCGGCGGACGGGUGAGUAACGCGUGGGAACGUGCCUUUCACUACGGAAUAGUCCCGGGAAACUGGGUUUAAUACCGUAUACGCCCUUCGGGGGAAAGAAUUUCGGUGAGAGAUCGGCCCGCGUCUGAUUAGGUAGUUGGUGGGGUAAUGGCCUACCAAGCCGACGAUCAGUAGCUGGUUUGAGAGGAUGAUCAGCCACACUGGGACUGAGACACGGCCCAGACUCCUAUGGGAGGCAGCAGUGAGGAAUCUUGGACAAUGGGGGCAACCCUGAUCCAGCCACGCCGCGUGAACGAUGAAGGCCUUAGGGUUGUAAAGUUCUUUCAACGGUGAAGAUAAUGACGGUAGCCGUAGAAGAAACCCCGGCUAACUCCGUGCCAGCAGCCGCGGUAAUACGGAGGGGGUUAGCGUUGUUCGGAAUUACUGGGCGUAAAGCGCACGUAGGCGGACUAUUAAGUCAGGGGUGAAAUCCCGGGGCUCAACCCCGGAACUGCCUUUGAUACUGGUAGUCUAGAGUUCGAGAGAGGUGAGUGGAAUUCCGAGUGUAGAGGUGAAAUUCGUAGAUAUUCGGAGGAACACCAGUGGCGAAGGCGGCUCACUGGC